rnacentral:misc_RNA from 1 species
AACGCACAUUGCACCCUCUGGCAUUCCGGAGGGUAUGCCUGUUUGAGUAUCAUUAAUAUCUCAACACAGACAGAUUAACCUCUGUUCUGUUGCUUUGGAUGUUGAAGGCUUGCUGGUGUAAACCGGCUCCUUUAAAAUGCAUUAGCGGAAACCAUGCACUAAACUGGCUUCAGUAUGAUAAGGUCUUAUCUGUAUUACUGUCGCUUGUGGAUAAGCAAAAUUUAUUGUUUCAGCUUCUAAUUGCCCUAUGGGCUGUCUCCUAUGAGGCAUACUUUGAUACUUGAUCUCAAAUCAGGUAGGACUACCCGCUGAACUUAA